rnacentral:rRNA from 1 species
AGAGUUUGAUCCUGGCUCAGAUUGAACGCUGGCGGCAGGCCUAACACAUGCAAGUCGAGCGGUAGAGAGAAGCUUGCUUCUCUUGAGAGCGGCGGACGGGUGAGUAAUGCCUAGGAAUCUGCCUGGUAGUGGGGGAUAACGCUCGGAAACGGACGCUAAUACCGCAUACGUCCUACGGGAGAAAGCAGGGGACCUUCGGGCCUUGCGCUAUCAGAUGAGCCUAGGUCGGAUUAGCUAGUUGGUGAGGUAAUGGCUCACCAAGGCGACGAUCCGUAACUGGUCUGAGAGGAUGAUCAGUCACACUGGAACUGAGACACGGUCCAGACUCCUACGGGAGGCAGCAGUGGGGAAUAUUGGACAAUGGGCGAAAGCCUGAUCCAGCCAUGCCGCGUGUGUGAAGAAGGUCUUCGGAUUGUAAAGCACUUUAAGUUGGGAGGAAGGGCAUUAACCUAAUACGUUAGUGUUUUGACGUUACCGA